rnacentral:rRNA from 1 species
GAUGAACGCUAGCGGCAGGCCUAAUACAUGCAAGUCGAGGGGUAGAAGAGGCUUGCUUCUUUGAGACCGGCGCACGGGUGCGUAACGCGUAUGCAACCUACCUUCAUCUGGGGGAUAGCCCGGAGAAAUCCGGAUUAAUACCGCAUAAAAUCACAGGAUGGCAUAAUCCAAUGAUCAAACAUCUAUGGGAUGGAGAUGGGCAUGCGUGUCAUUAGCUAGUUGGCGGGGUAACGGCCCACCAAGGCGACGAUGACUAGGGGAUCUGAGAGGAUGGGCCCCCACACUGGUACUGAGACACGGACCAGACUCCUACGGGAGGCAGCAGUAAGGAAUAUUGGUCAAUGGAGGCAACUCUGAACCAGCCAUGCCGCGUGCAGGAAGACUGCCCUAUGGGUUGUAAACUGCUUUUAUUCGGGAAUAAACCUUAUUAAGUGUAAUAAGCUGAAUGUACCGAAGGAAUAAGGAUCGGCUAACUCCGUGCCAGCCGCCGCGGUAA